GAUGAACGCUGGCGGCGUGCCUAAUACAUGCAAGUCGAGCGAACGGACGAGAAGCUUGCUUCUCUGAUGUUAGCGGCGGACGGGUGAGUAACACGUGGAUAACCUACCUAUAAGACUGGGAUAACUUCGGGAAACCGGAGCUAAUACCGGAUAAUAUUUUGAACCGCAUGGUUCAAAAGUGAAAGACGGUCUUGCUGUCACUUAUAGAUGGAUCCGCGCUGCAUUAGCUAGUUGGUAAGGUAACGGCUUACCAAGGCAACGAUGCAUAGCCGACCUGAGAGGGUGAUCGGCCACACUGGAACUGAGACACGGUCCAGACUCCUACGGGAGGCAGCAGUAGGGAAUCCUCCGCAAUGGGCGAAAGCCUGACGGAGCAACGCCGCGUGAGUGAUGAAGGUCUUCGGAUCGUAAAACUCUGUUAUUAGGGAAGAACAUAUGUGUAAGUAACUGUGCACAUCUUGACGGUACCUAAUCAGAAAGCCACGGCUAACUACGUGCCAGCAGCCGCGGUAAUACGUAGGUGGCAAGCGUUAUCCGGAAUUAUUGGGCGUAAAGCGCGCGUAGGCGGUUUUUUAGUCUGAUGUGAAAGCCCACGGCUCAACCGUGGAGGGUCAUUGGAAACUGGAAAACUUGAGUGCAGAAGAGGAAAGUGGAAUUCCAUGUGUAGCGGUGAAAUGCGCAGAGAUAUGGAGGAACACCAGUGGCGAAGGCGACUUUCUGGUCUGUAACUGACGCUGAUGUGCGAAAGCGUGGGGAUCAAACAGGAUUAGAUACCCUGGUAGUCCACGCCGUAAACGAUGAGUGCUAAGUGUUAGGGGGUUUCCGCCCCUUAGUGCUGCAGCUAACGCAUUAAGCACUCCGCCUGGGGAGUACGACCGCAAGGUUGAAACUCAAAGGAAUUGACGGGGACCCGCACAAGCGGUGGAGCAUGUGGUUUAAUUCGAAGCAACGCGAAGAACCUUACCAAAUCUUGACACCCUUUGACAACUCUAGAGAUAGAGCCUUCCCCUUCGGGGGACAAAGUGACAGGUGGUGCAUGGUUGUCGUCAGCUCGUGUCGUGAGAUGUUGGGUUAAGUCCCGCAACGAGCGCAACCCUUAAGCUUAGUUGCCAUCAUUAAGUUGGGCACUCUAAGUUGACUGCCGGUGACAAACCGGAGGAAGGUGGGGAUGACGUCAAAUCAUCAUGCCCCUUAUGAUUUGGGCUACACACGUGCUGCAAUGGACAAUACAAAGGGCAGCGAAACCGCGAGGUCAAGCAAAUCCCAUAAAGUUGUUCUCAGUUCGGAUUGUAGUCUGCAACUCGACUACAUGAAGCUGGAAUCGCUAGUAAUCGUAGAUCAGCAUGCUACGGUGAAUACGUUCCCGGGUCU
rnacentral:rRNA from 1 species